UUCAACUCUUUGCUAAGCGGCCAGAUUCUCAGAUGACCCUAACUCCAUGCCUCUCUGUCACCUACUCCCACAGUCCUAUCUUAGUGGUUUUUUUUCCAGAACUGCCACCAAGCAAGAGGUUACUGAGUCCUCUAAGGAAAACCACACAGGAGUACCAGUUGAUGUGAUGGCACAUGGAGAGGCAACCUCUCAGUGCCCAGAAGUUCUACUGCAUGCCUCUUCCCAGCCCAAACAAUGGCCCUUCUAAAACGUCCUGCCUCAGACCCACCAUCUGUUCACUCACUUCUGCAAUCAAAUUCGAUCGAGCUGGCUUAUAAUAGAUCUAUGGCAUUCAAGAGACUAGGGGAAAAAAAAGAAAACACCACUUAUCAGUCUCCGUCUUUCUGAAGAAAAUAUAGGUAUGUUUUCAUUCAAUCCAAUAAACAUUAACUGCACUCAGCAAUAGCCAAGCUGCUGAGACACAAAGACGAACAAGACGGCAUGGUUCCACAUUCU